rnacentral:rRNA from 1 species
GAGUUUGAUCCUGGCUCAGAUUGAACGCUGGCGGCAUGCUUUACACAUGCAAGUCGAACGGCAGCGCGGGGCAACCCUGGCGGCGAGUGGCGAACGGGUGAGUAAUGCAUCGGAACGUAUCCUGUAAUGGGGGAUAACGUAGCGAAAGUUACGCUAAUACCGCAUACGCUCGAGAGAGGAAAGUGGGGGAUCGCAAGACCUCACGUUAUAGGAGCGGCCGAUGUCCGAUUAGCUAGUUGGUGGGGUAAAGGCCUACCAAGGCGACGAUCGGUAGCUGGUCUGAGAGGAUGAUCAGCCACACUGGGACUGAGACACGGCCCAGACUCCUACGGGAGGCAGCAGUGGGGAAUUUUGGACAAUGGGCGAAAGCCUGAUCCAGCCAUGCCGCGUGCGGGAAGAAGGCCUUCGGGUUGUAAACCGCUUUAGUCCGGGAAAAAGGGGUGCGAGGAUAAUACCCUCGUGCUUUGAUGGUACUGGAAGAAUAAGCACCGGCUAACUACGUG